rnacentral:miRNA from 1 species
GAGCUCCCUGAGGGCACCGAGAUGGGCUAACUCGGGCAGCGCUCUCAGCUGCGAGGGGCCCCUUGCCACAGGGCUGCAGUCCUGGCCUCUCCAUUUACUUCUUCCU